rnacentral:rRNA from 1 species
UACGUAGGGUGCAAGCGUUGUCCGGAAUUAUUGGGCGUAAAGAGCUCGUAGGCGGUUUGUCGCGUCGGCUGUGAAAGCCCGGAGCUCAACUCCGGGUCUGCAGUCGAUACGGGCAGACUUGAGUGUUGCAGGGGAGACUGGAAUUCCUGGUGUAGCGGUGAAAUGCGCAGAUAUCAGGAGGAACACCGAUGGCGAAGGCAGAUCUCUGGGCCGUAACUGACGCUGAGGAGCGAAAGCGUGGGGAGCGAACAGG